GAUGAACGCUGGCGGCGUGCCUAAUACAUGCAAGUCGAGCGAACGGACGAGAAGCUUGCUUCUCUGAUGUUAGCGGCGGACGGGUGAGUAACACGUGGAUAACCUACCUAUAAGACUGGGAUAACUUCGGGAAACCGGAGCUAAUACCGGAUGAUAUUUUGAACCGCAUGGUUCAAAAGUGAAAGACGGUCUUGCUGUCACUUAUAGAUGGAUCCGCGCUGCAUUAGCUAGUUGGUAAGGUAACGGCUUACCAAGGCAACGAUGCAUAGCCGACCUGAGAGGGUGAUCGGCCACACUGGAACUGAGACACGGUCCAGACUCCUACGGGAGGCAGCAGUAGGGACUCUUACGCGAUGGGGGAAAGCCUGACGGAGCAACGCCGCGUGAAUGAUGAAGGUCUUCGGAUCGUAAAACUCUGUUAUUAGGGAAGAACAUAUGUGUAAGUAACUGUGCACAUCUUGACGGUACCUAAUCAGAAAGCCACGGCUAACUACGUG
rnacentral:rRNA from 1 species